rnacentral:rRNA from 1 species
GAUUACCCGCUGAACUUAAGCAUAUCAAUAAGCGGAGGAAAAGAAACUAACAAGGAUUCCCCUAGUAACGGCGAGUGAAGCGGGAAGAGCUCAAAUUUGAAAUCUGGUAGACUCAGUCUAUCCGAGUUGUAAUCUAUAGAAGCAGUUUCCGUGCUGGCCCAUGUACAAGUCCCUUGGAACAGGGCGUCAUAGAGGGUGAGAAUCCCGUUCUUGACAUGGACUACCAGUGCUUUGUGAUCUGUUUUCAACGAGUCGAGUUGUUUGGGAAUGCAGCUCAAAUUGGGUGGUAAAUUCCAUCUAAAGCUAAAUAUUGGCGAGAGACCGAUAGCGAACAAGUACCGUGAGGGAAAGAUGAAAAGCACUUUGGAAAGAGAGUUAAACAGUAUGUGAAAUUGUUGAAAGGGAAACGAUUGAAGUCAGUCAUGUCUAUUGGACUCAGCCGGUUCUGCCGGUGUAUUUCCUUUAGAUGGGGUCAACAUCAGUUUUGACCGCUGGAUAAAGGUUUGAAGAAUGUAGCACUCUCGGGUGAACUUAUAGCUUCUUGUCAUAUACAGUGGUUGGGACUGAGGAACGCAGCAUGCCUUUAUGGCCGGGAUUCGUCCACGUACAUGCUUAGGAUGUUGACAUAAUGGCUUUAAACGACCCGUCUUGUAACACGGACCAAGGAGUCUAGCAUAUCUGCAAGUGUUUGGGUGUUAAAAACCCGAGCGCGU